rnacentral:rRNA from 1 species
GAACGCUGAAGAGAGGAGCUUGCUCUUCUUGGAUGAGUUGCGAACGGGUGAGUAACGCGUAGGUAACCUGCCUUGUAGCGGGGGAUAACUAUUGGAAACGAUAGCUAAUACCGCAUAACAAUGGAUGACACAUGUCAUUUAUUUGAAAGGGGCAAUUGCUCCACUACAAGAUGGACCUGCGUUGUAUUAGCUAGUAGGUGAGGUAACGGCUCACCUAGGCGACGAUACAUAGCCGACCUGAGAGGGUGAUCGGCCACACUGGGACUGAGACACGGCCCAGACUCCUACGGGAGGCAGCAGUAGGGAAUCUUCGGCAAUGGGGGCAACCCUGACCGAGCAACGCCGCGUGAGUGAAGAAGGUUUUCGGAUCGUAAAGCUCUGUUGUAAGUCAAGAACGAGUGUGAGAGUGGAAAGUUCACACUGUGACGGUAGCUUACCAGAAAGGGACGGCUAACUACGUGCCAGCAGCCGCGGUAAUACGUAGGUCCCGAGCGUUGUCCGGAUUUAUUGGGCGUAAAGCGAGCGCAGGCGGUUUGAUAAGUCUGAAGUUAAAGGCUGUGGCUCAACCAUAGUUCGCUUUGGAAACUGUCAAACUUGAGUGCAGAAGGGGAGAGUGGAAUUCCAUGUGUAGCGGUGAAAUGCGUAGAUAUAUGGAGGAACACCGGUGGCGAAAGCGGCUCUCUGGUCUGUAACUGACGCUGAGGCUCGAAAGCGUGGGGAGCGAACAGGAUUAGAUACCCUGGUAGUCCACGCCGUAAACGAUGAGUGCUAGGUGUUGGAUCCUUUCCGGGAUUCAGUGCCGCAGCUAACGCAUUAAGCACUCCGCCUGGGGAGUACGACCGCAAGGUUGAAACUCAAAGGAAUUGACGGGGGCCCGCACAAGCGGUGGAGCAUGUGGUUUAAUUCGAAGCAACGCGAAGAACCUUACCAGGUCUUGACAUCCCGAUGCUAUUUCUAGAGAUAGAAAGUUACUUCGGUACAUCGGUGACAGGUGGUGCAUGGUUGUCGUCAGCUCGUGUCGUGAGAUGUUGGGUUAAGUCCCGCAACGAGCGCAACCCCUAUUGUUAGUUGCCAUCAUUCAGUUGGGCACUCUAGCGAGACUGCCGGUAAUAAACCGGAGGAAGGUGGGGAUGACGUCAAAUCAUCAUGCCCCUUAUGACCUGGGCUACACACGUGCUACAAUGGUUGGUACAACGAGUUGCGAGUCGGUGACGGCAAGCUAAUCUCUUAAAGCCAAUCUCAGUUCGGAUUGUAGGCUGCAACUCGCCUACAUGAAGUCGGAAUCGCUAGUAAUCGCGGAUCAGCACGCCGCGGUGAAUACGUUCCCGGGCCUUGUACACACCGCCCGUCACACCACGAGAGUUUGUAACACCCGAAGUCGGUGAGGUAACCUUUNNAGCCAGC